UACAGAGGUCUCAAGCGUUGUUCGGAUUCAUUGGGCGUAAAGGGCGCGUAGGCGGGCCGUCAAGUCGGGGGUGAAAUCUUUCAGCUCAACUGGAAAAGAGCCUUCGAUACUGACGGCCUCGAGGGAGGUAGGGGCGUGCGGAACUUCCGGUGGAGCGGUGAAAUGCGUAGAGAUCGGAAGGAACGCCGGUGGCGAAAGCGGCGCGCUGGACCUCUUCUGACGCUGAGGCGCGAAAGCCAGGGGAGCAAAGCGGG
rnacentral:rRNA from 1 species